GGAUUGGUGGUGUAAUGGUAACGCGCUCCAUGUACCUAUAUGCAAUGUUCACAUAUUGUUUCUGGAGAGUCUGGAGUUCGAUUCUCCGUCAAGCCA